GAUCACCAAAAUAAAGUGGGAGUAAAGAACCUGCAUCCGGACUCAAGUGUUCAUUUCAUUGGAGUUGGGCUUACUGCUAAAUUGUGUUGGCAAACACACAAGGAGAGCAGAAUAAUUGAUGUUUGGAUU